rnacentral:lncRNA from 1 species
GAAACAAUAUGAUGAUGUUCCACAAUCAAUUUAGACAGAUUACAAUAUUAGUGAGAAGAAACCCUACAUAUGAGUGAUUUGAGAAUAGAGAAAUCACAUAUUUAGAUUUAGAAGCAGCAAAUAAAUGAAAAGACCUUGGAGACGACAUCAUCGCAGAUGGCGAUAUCAGUUUUGUCGUGCCUACGAAAUACCUUUGAUAAAAACAACGUAAAAAGCUAUAACGGCGCAACGAUUGGGGCUGAGGGAGACAUACGCAGAUGAUGAAUAUAG